CGCCGCGAUACGGAAAUGAUUUAUAAAACUGUCACGAGUUUUUGCAGCACAGUCGAUAAAGAGCGAGAGCGUCUCGAUCAUUUACGGCUAAAAAAUGUCGAUAAUUUACCGAAUAAUAAAAAUUUCUAUACCCCGAUAACCAAGCAUGCUAGCACGACGGCGCACGUUAUGCUCGGCAUGUCAUGCACACACUAUGCUGUCACUAUGUCACACUUUAUUGAUAAAGCAGACAAUGCUAGCACGGUGUUGGCACAGAAAGUAUUACAGUCAAAAAGUGAGGUUAGUUUAUUUAAUUGGCGUUCUGCAAACACAAUGCAAGCAUAUUACGAGCUGUCGUGCAGAGCAAACAGUUCAAGAUUCAAUGCGUCUUAUCAAUUAUUCGAAAUGAAUAAAAAAAAUUAUCGUCUUGUAGGUACUCUUAGUUCAAAAGAGAGUAUGCAAAAUUUAAUCACUGAUUUAAAAAAUGCGAAAAGCUUAUUGCCAUCUCAGACUACAUCUGAAAAUUCCCAAUCUCUAAUUCAUUCAAUAUCUUAUAUAAAAAAGAAACCUUUAAUUGAAAUAAAUAAAACGAUUAAUUAUGCAAAUACACAUGUUACUUCUAAUACAUCAAUAACAUCGACUAAAAUUUCAAAAAACCAAUCACCAGAGAUCUAUGUAACAUCAACACCUCACAAGAAACGUACAACAAACAAAAAUACUUUCCAGUUACAAGAAUCAUACAACCUAGAAAAUCAAAUUUCCGUUCCGAAGAAUACUUUUCAAAUAAAACCUUCAAGGAUAAAUAAUUCACAAAUCUGUGAUUCUUUGAAUAAAAGCAUUGCUGAACAAACGCAUAUUGUACAUGUUGUUCAAGAUUUAUUUAAAAAACUAAACAAACGUUUGGAUAUAAUAGAAAAAAAAGAAAGUGAAAAUCAUGCGAUGUUGUUGCGACUAACAAAAAUAAAAAAUCGAAGAGUUCAAUCGAUUCCAAAAUGUCUUCUUUUUAAAUCAAUACAAAAUUUAAUACUAUUUGACAACGCAAAUGAUGAUAUAUAUAACGAAGUUACUGUUCCAGAAAAUUCAAUAAUCGCAAAAGUUGUCAAGAUAUAAUGUCAAGAUGUUUAUAUUUGUAAGAUUUCACGUUGCAAUUACCAAUUUGUGAAUGUUGAUUAUUUUAUUUAUUUAGGUGGAUUUAAUCCUAUAGAUUGUGCUACAAUAUAUUUUAAUUGUGCUUUUGAAAAAGUUGAAAAGACUACAUUGGAAGUGACUUGGCAUGGUACAAAAGAUUUGAAAGCUU
rnacentral:misc_RNA from 1 species